GGAGGUAUGACUUAGUGGCUUAAGACAUUAGUUUGCUAAAUUAACAUACAAAAAGAUUGUACCAUGGGUUCGAAUCCCAUUUUCUCCU